GCAGUAGCCGCGGGAAUACGGAGGGUGCAAGCGUUAAUCGGAAUUACUGGGCGUAAAGCGCACGCAGGCGGUCUGACAAGUCAGAUGUGAAAUCCCCGGGCUUAACCUGGGAACUGCAUUUGAAACUGUCAGGCUGGAGUCUUGUAGAGGGGGGUGGAAUUCCAGGUGUAGCGGUGAAAUGCGUAGAGAUCUGGAGGAAUACCGGUGGCGAAGGCGGCCCCCUGGACAAAGACUGACGCUCAGGUGCGAAAGCGUGGGGAGCAAACAGGAUUAGAUACCUCUGUAGUCCCUGUCUCUUAUAC
rnacentral:rRNA from 1 species